rnacentral:tRNA from 1 species
GGAGAGAUGGCUCAGUGGUUAAGAGCACUGACUGCUCUUCCAGAGGACCUGAGUUCAAUUCCCAGCAACCACA